rnacentral:rRNA from 1 species
UCUGGUGACAAUGGCAAGGAGGUCACACCUGUUCCCAUGCCGAACACAGAAGUUAAGCUCCUUAGCGCCGAUGGUAAGC